rfam:Serendipita vermifera MAFF 305830 unplaced genomic scaffold scaffold_7, whole genome shotgun sequence.
GUCCCCUCCGGGGGACAUAUAAUAAAAUUGGAACGAUACAGAGAAGAUUAGCAUGGCCCCUGCACAAGGAUGACACGCUUUACCAGAUGUGGUCGCUCUACGGAGUGAAAUAUUUUU